rnacentral:misc_RNA from 1 species
GUUACUUACAAGAUGAACAGGAGCUUUAAUAUGCUUUACAAGUGAUGAACUACACUGAUUAUCUCUAACAUCAUGUCUAUGAUGUCUCCUAAUAUACUCAUCUUCACUACUAAUUUUUCUAUCAACGUUCAUGAUGCUGACCAUCGCCGGAGAAAAAACAACGGCACCGACAACCUCGUCGACGGCGAAUAAAUCUGGAAAAAAAAAGGGUGGAAAAUGAGAAAAAUUAAUUUAGAAAAAGCCAAAAGACACCGCCAUUAGAACCUCG